CUGAACUCAGAAAUGAAGCUGGCAGUAUCUGCUCUGAUCUGGUUAGUGCUGGAUGGGGCAGAAAGGGGUGUGUGUGUGUUUCUGCUGCUUAUUUAUGACACAUCAUUGAGUUGCAUGUGUUAUUUGAGGGAUGCAGCCAAGACAGAUGGGGCAUGCUUAUUUGUUGACUUGUGUUGCUUAGACAUUGUGCUAUUUUUGUGAGAUCUUUGUUUCUCUGUUAAGGCACCUGGUGGCCUUCAGACAAAAGUGCCCAUAAAGAAAAUGUUUUGUUAGCCUAUUAUUAAUAAAAAUCUGCUUGAUCCCAUAAGCUUGUAAGAUUGGGUGUAGUGAAUUAGAGCAGUGUCCUUCCACGGCGUGGUAUAUGUGAGCAAUAUUUAAUACUUCUUUUAAAAAUAUAAUUUU